rnacentral:rRNA from 1 species
UACGGGGGGGGCAAGCGUUGUUCGGAAUUACUGGGCGUAAAGCGUGCGCAGGCGGCUCCUUAAGUCAGAUGUGAAAGCCCCGGGCUUAACCUGGGAACUGCGUUUGAAACUGGGGAGCUGGAGUGUAGAAGAGGGGGGUGGAAUUCCAGGUGUAGCAGUGAAAUGCGUAGAUAUCUGGAGGAACACCGAUGGCGAAGGCAGCCCCCUGGGCUAACACUGACGCUCAUGCACGAAAGCGUGGGGAGCAAACAGG